rnacentral:rRNA from 1 species
CCUACGGGUGGCAGCAGUGAGGAAUAUUGGUCAAUGGGCGCGAGCCUGAACCAGCCAAGUAGCGUGAAGGAUGACUGCCCUACGGGUUGUAAACUUCUUUUAUAAAGGAAUAAAGUGAGGCACGUGUGCCUUUUUGUAUGUACUUUAUGAAUAAGGAUCGGCUAACUCCGUGCCAGCAGCCGCGGUAAUACGGAGGAUCCGAGCGUUAUCCGGAUUUAUUGGGUUUAAAGGGAGCGUAGAUGGGUUGUUAAGUCAGUUGUGAAAGUUUGCGGCUCAACCGUAAAAUUGCAAUUGAUACUGGCAGUUGUGAGGACAGGUGAGGGAGGCGGAAUUCGUGGGGUAGCGGUGAAAUGCUUAGAUAACACGAAGAACUACGAUUGCGAAGGCAGCCUACCAAACCGCCACUGACAUUGAUGAUCGAAAGUGUGGGUAUCAAACAGGAUUAGAUACCCUAGUAGUC